AAAAGUGAAAGACGGUCUUGCUGUCACUUAUAGAUGGAUCCGCGCUGCAUUAGCUAGUUGGUAAGGUAACGGCUUACCAAGGCAACGAUGCAUAGCCGACCUGAGAGGGUGAUCGGCCACACUGGAACUGAGACACGGUCCAGACUCCUACGGGAGGCAGCAGUAGGGAAUCUUCCGCAAUGGGCGAAAGCCUGACGGAGCAACGCCGCGUGAGUGAUGAAGGUCUUCGGAUCGUAAAACUCUGUUAUUAGGGAAGAACAUAUGUGUAAGUAACUGUGCACAUCUUGACGGUACCUAAUCAGAAAGCCACGGCUAACUACGUGCCAGCAGCCGCGGUAAUACGUAGGUGGCAAGCGUUAUCCGGAAUUAUUGGGCGUAAAGCGCGCGUAGGCGGUUUUUUAAGUCUGAUGUGAAAGCCCACGGCUCAACCGUGGAGGGUCAUUGGAAACUGGAAAACUUGAGUGCAGAAGAGGAAAGUGGAAUUCCAUGUGUAGCGGUGAAAUGCGCAGAGAUAUGGAGGAACACCAGUGGCGAAGGCGACUUUCUGGUCUGUAACUGACGCUGAUGUGCGAAAGCGUGGGGAUCAAACAGGAUUAGAUACCCUGGUAGUCCACGCCGUAAACGAUGAGUGCUAAGUGUUAGGGGGUUUCCGCCCCUUAGUGCUGCAGCUAACGCAUUAAGCACUCCGCCUGGGGAGUACGACCGCAAGGUUGAAACUCAAAGGAAUUGACGGGGACCCGCACAAGCGGUGGAGCAUGUGGUUUAAUUCGAAGCAACGCGAAGAACCUUACCAAAUCUUGACAUCCUUUGACAACUCUAGAGAUAGAGCCUUCCCCUUCGGGGGACAAAGUGACAGGUGGUGCAUGGUUGUCGUCAGCUCGUGUCGUGAGAUGUUGGGUUAAGUCCCGCAACGAGCGCAACCCUUAAGCUUAGUUGCCAUCAUUAAGUUGGGCACUCUAAGUUGACUGCCGGUGACAAACCGGAGGAAGGUGGGGAUGACGUCAAAUCAUCAUGCCCCUUAUGAUUUGGGCUACACACGUGCUACAAUGGACAAUACAAAGGGCAGCGAAACCGCGAGGUCAAGCAAAUCCCAUAAAGUUGUUCUCAGUUCGGAUUGUAGUCUGCAACUCGACUACAUGAAGCUGGAAUCGCUAGUAAUCGUAGAUCAGCAUGCUACGGUGAAUACGUUCCCGGGUCUUGUACACACCGCCCGUCACACCACGAGAGUUUGUAACACCCGAAGCCGGUGGAGUAACCUUUUAGGAGCUAGCCGUCG
rnacentral:rRNA from 1 species